rnacentral:rRNA from 1 species
UACAGAGGUGGCAAGCGUUGUUCGGAAUUACUGGGCGUAAAGGGCGCGUAGGCGGCCUUCUAAGUCAGACGUGAAAUCCCCAGGCUUAACUUGGGAACUGCGUCUGAUACUGGGAGGCUUGAGUGCGGGAGAGGGAUGUGGAAUUCCAGGUGUAGCGGUGAAAAUGCGUAGAUAUCUGGAGGAACACCGGUGGCGAAGGCGGCAUCCUGGACCGACACUGACGCUGAGGCGCGAAAGCUAGGGGAGCAAACGGG